GAAUUUCGAAAUUAAUAUCAUAAUAGGAAGCCUUGUUAAUUAAAUUCGGUGGUCCCUACUAUGCCUAAACAAUAGAAAAUAGUGAAAACUGUUACUUAGUGGGAAAGAAAACGUGGAACCGUCCCUUAGUGGGAGAAGGAAACCUAACAGGUUUUGAAAACAGUUUUGACCUAAAACGCAACUAUAUAUAUGGAUAUAAGGGUUGGACGUUUUUGACAAGAUUCUAAUUGCGGUUUCUACUAGAAUUUUGCCUACCCAAAAUUCUCCAUUUUCGGUUAUUGUUUGGGUAACACAGUAGAAGACUAUGGAAAUCUGCUGGUGUGUUUCAACUGAGGAACUGGAGAAUGACAUAGAUUUGCUGUGUUUACGCUUCAAGAGGUAAUCCUAAAAUCUCCAUACGUACUAGUUGUUUAGAUUACACGUGAAUAAGAUUCUGUUAUUGCUUCCGCUGUGGUAUAUAUUCCUACACUUUCUUUAUGGUCAUUUUUGCAAUCUUUAGAGUUUCUAGUUCAUGUUUGAAGUAUGGCUACAUCAGUUAUUGUUAUUAUUAAUAUUUUUGACUCCGUAUUUCUGGAAUACAAGGUAUAUAUGUAUUUGCCUAAAGGAUGUUAUUUAAUUGGUAUUUCCAAAUGGAUAAAAUACACCGUUACUUGUUACUGAUUAGUUAUUACUUCAUAUGUACAUAUUAUGGGUUCGUUUUGCUACAUUGCAAAUGCACAUCAUUUCCUUUACUAAUAUACCAUGCUAAGGCUGCAAUGUUUUAUUUUGUUCUGUGUCUGGUAGUCAUUCUCAAGAAAAUGUUAGGAAAAUUUGAACAAAAGUGUAAAAUGCAAACUGCUCUAGAUUCAUUGCAAUACAGCUCGAAAACACCUAAUGCGAGUGCAGGUAUCUUUCAACAGGAGCCAGAACAGGUACCUAAACAUUCAGCUGUUCAAGAAUAUGCUACACAUUCUGAAGAAUAAUCUUCUUUUUACUUUAUGUUGUUUAAAUUUGUAUGAUUUUGUAGGUCAUAGGCGCUGCCUCUGAUUAUUUUGUAUCAAAGUAGGAAGCCAUAGGAGUGGAGCAUUUAUUAGCAGAACCUAAGUAUGAUGAUAUGGCUGAUACUCUUCUAGAUCUUAAGACAUGUACAUUCAGUGUUCCAGAGAGCUAAUUUAAGGAUUUUUCAGCUCUGGAGUCUGUUGAUCGUGAUUCAAUUCCCAUAACUCUUAUCCACGAGGAUGAAACUAGGAAGAAGCUUAUUGAUGGAUUUUCAAACGGAUAUGACGAAAAUUAUUGCUCCAUUUCAUGUGAAGAUUACCUUUUGGGUAAGCAGUUCCUUGCAUUUCCCAUAUCAUGCUUGUCUACUCUUCCUUUUCCUACUUUGUUUCUAACCUAAUUAAAUAUCUUUUAGUUGCUAAGUUACUUUUAGUCCUGCUUUUAUCUAUUUAUCGGAUAUUAAAAUUGAGGAAGAAACUCCCACCCUUAGUGAUGUCAAUAUAUCCUAUAUUGAAAAUCUAAAGUUGGAAAACCAGCUUGCUGAUUCAAAUGGAAAAAUUUGUGGCAUUGAUGUGUUAAAGUUUUCUGAUCCAAGUAACUCAUCUGAUUAUGAUGCUCUACGAUUAGACAAUCACAAUUGUCUGGGAUUUGAUGACAUGUCAACUGAUAGACUACUCGAGGUGUUCAGUAAGAUGUUUGGACAUCAAACUUCUGUCACGAAUAAGCAAUGGCUGAAUCACCACAUAACAUUUGGUUUGCAAAACCAGGACAUGAAAUGCUCUCUAGUUUUGAGUGAAAAUGAAGGGUCUAAAGUCCUUUCACCAGCAAGUCGUGAAGAGCUCCUUAAAGCGUCUACUGCCUUUGCAAGUGUAUUCAAUUUCCGAAAAAAGCCAAGGGUUCAACAUGUGAAAAGGAGAGAACAUAUCCAAUGGAAUUCCUUCAAAUGCUUAUCUGAGGCACAAGUUGAUUCUUCUGGCUGUCUUUCGGACCAGUCGAAUGAUAAUACUACAUCUGAAGAUGAUUGGACUACAGGGAUUGAGACACGAGGCGCUAACCAAAACAGAAAACAUAACUAUUGGUCGACACCUGAGGUCCUAAAGUUGGUGGAGGGUGUAUCUCAGUAUGGUGUAGGCAGAUGGACUGACAUAAAGAGGUUGUAUUUCCAAUCAUCUGCACAUCAUAGCCCACUUGAUCUGAAGGUAUGUAACUGUUAGUACUAUCAUAUACUGUAGUAAUUUUCUUCUUUCCAUAUAUUUUUGGUAUGACUUUAGUCUUUGUGAACGGAAUAGAAAGAAUAACUUGUGUUGUCAUUCCAAGAGGUGAGCAAUAUAAAUACAUGUACAUCAG